GCCUGGCUAGUUCAGUUAGUGGAGCAUGUGACUCUUGAUCUCAAGUUGUAAGUUCAAAUCCCACGUUAGGUA
rnacentral:tRNA from 1 species